CCCAUUCUCUCCUCAUACCCACCAAACCCAUCCAAAAGCCUCCCCUCUCUCUCUCUCUCCUCUGUGUCUCAAACAACAAUCCCAUUCAGCCCUUUCUCUCUCGCCCUUUUUCCCUCUGUGUCGAAAGCAAUAAUCCCAUUAAGUAAAAACAGAGCAUUUUUUCAGGAAAAUAAUGCAUUCUUUUCCCUCUCUCUUUCUCUCUCUCUCUCUCUCUCAAAUCGACUCCAGCUUACUUUGACCCAAAAUCCGAUCUCGGAAGCGAAGCCAUUUCUCAUUCCUCCACUCCUCAUCUCCCGCCAUUGUUGACCAAAUGUUCGCGAGCUAUGUUGCCUUGUCUCGGAUUCAAAUCCUGCAAUACUUUUGGAUAUUUGAAAUGCUAUAUAUAAACGAAAAGCUUUUCAAGCAUAUAAUACUUGAAACGGUUGUGGUUUGUUGGUGAGAAAGCUAUCUUCUUCUGUUUUUAACUUGAUAAAUAAUUGUUGUUAAUAUUUUUGAUAAAUAUUUAUUGUUUGUCUGGAUGCUUAUACAUGGCAAGGAACAGCCAAAAACUAUUAAUUUAUUUGUUUAUUUUGAGCCAAAUGUAUAAAUAUACUUUUGUACUUUAGGAAAAAAAUCUUGGGUACCUUGAACUUUGGGAGACCUAUUGUGUCCUUAAGUUACGAAUUUUGCUAAUAAUGUAUCUCUCUAUACUAAUAAUAACAAUUUUUUUUGUGUUUUUAGUAUUUAUGUGUAAGAGUUCACUUAAUACGUGGUUAGUAUAAUUUUUAAAAUAAUAAUUUCAUAUUUUUUAAUAAGUGUUUGAUUGAUCUAAUUUUAGAAGUUUGAGUAUUCAAUAAAAUAAUUUUUACAAAUUAAAGUAUUUGAUCGAUAUAAAUUUUAAUAAAUUAAAGUAAAAAUUAAAAGUGUCAUGAAAUUUUUUAUGUAAAUACAUAGAUAAAUUUAUGCAUUGGGCGUGCCAUUUAUUUCGAUGCAAUGAUGAAAUGCAUGCCCGAAUCCAUAAUUUUUUUUUUGAGGAAUUACUCUGAAAAAGAAAAGAAAGAUAGAAAUUUGAGAAAGAUUGACGUCUUGGGUCCCCUUUGGUAAAGGUCAUGUUUUCGCUCCUCUCUUUACCCUCUAAUUUGCAUAGAACUACACAUCCUGCCCAACAUAUUACAUUGCAUACUUGGCUUCAAGAGGCCUAUCAAAAUUUUAAACAGUAGCUCAUGGGACCAGCGAGUCGAAAUUGUGAUACACGCGCAGUUGCCAGCGUGAAAAAAAUAUUUAAUUGAUGUAAAAGUUUUUACUUCAG
rnacentral:lncRNA from 1 species